rnacentral:lncRNA from 1 species
GAAUAGAAUGUGUAUUCUAUGUGAGCUGUAGUGACUGUUAUCUCUAUUCUGGGUCUAGCCACCCAGCAAGUCUACCAGGCUCUGGGCUGGUACUGGGGAUUGUCUGCACACAGAGUCCUGUGAUGUGAACUGUCUAUGGGUUUCUCAGCCGAGGAUACCAGCACCCGUUCUGGUGUAGGUGGCAGGGAGGUGAAAUGCACUCUGUGAGGGUUCUUAGCCUUGGUGGUUUAAUGCUCUAUUUCUGUGCUGGUUGGCCUCCUGCCGGGAGGUGGCACAUUGCAGAGAGCAUCAGCUGUGAAGAGUAUAGAGAGGAACCGGCGGUGGGCGGGGCCCUAGAACUCCCAAGAUAUGCCCUUUGCCUUCAGCUACCAGGGUGGGUAGGGAAGGACCAUCAGGUGGGGGCAGGGCUAGGCGUGUCUGAGCUCAGACUCUCCUUGGGUGGGUCUUGCUGUGGCUGCUGUGGGGGAUGGGGGUAAGGUUCCCAGGUCAGUGGAGCUGUGGCUAGGAGGAUUAUGGCUGCCUUUGCUUAGUCAUGCAGGUUGUCGCAGAAGUGGGAGAAAACCGGCAGUCACAGGCCUCACCCAGCUCCCACACAAUCUGAAGGGUUGGUCUCACUCCCACUGUGCCACCCCUAACAGCACAGAGUCUGUUUCCAGGCAGUGGGCGAGCAGUGCUGAGAACUUGUCCCAGGCUACCUGCCUCCCAGCUGCAAAAGAGAAGGGCUUUAGUUCUUCUCCCACCUGUAGAGUCUGUAAGCUGGAUUCAUGCCCUCCCCCAAGUUCUGGCCAGGAGGCUUCUCGACCUCGGUUCAAAUUGUUACAAAGUUCAGCUGGAGAUUUCCUUCUCCCUGUGGCGUUUUCUCCGUGCCCCUGGCUGCCCUCCCAAAGGAUCCCUGUGAUGCUGGGCAGGAACGGCCUGUUUGGGUACCCAGCGAGCUCCCAGGGCCUUUCCAGCUGCUUCCUCUGCCCCUGCAUUUCACUCGGCUCUCUAAACUGACUCAGCUCCAGGCAAAGCUGUUUGCAUAUUAGCCCUGAAGCUUGUGCAGUGAGGCAGGAUAGAGGAAUGGGAACAGCUGGAGCCAGAGAGACCUGCUGGGAAUCUGGGCUCAGCCACUUUUGACCUGCAUGGUUUCUUGCAAGUCAGCUCAGAGCUGGACCAAAGCAGCUGUCGAUCCUUUGCCUCUUUGCACUUUGGAGCCCAGUCCUGAUGGGACCAGGUAAUCCAGGCAUGCAUCACUGCCAGACUGGCAAAUACCAACUCUUCAUUCAAGUGUUUUUCACUCAAGUGUUCCUAAAAAUAUCCAAGAGAAGAAGAGGACGGGCAGUUUUCUGGAAGGGCAGUUGUAAAACUUGAAGGAACAAAAUCUGUUAUCCUGUGGCUUAAAGAGGACUCUCUCUAGGAGACAUUUGUCAUGCUCUGGGCUUAUUCAGAGUCAGAAAUUGUCUCUGAUGGGAACCACACGAAAGAGUUGGGGACUCAGAAGAAUUACCUUCUGCUGAAGUUCACCUUAAAAAGUGUCAGAGCCCUGCCAAAUCUGUGAGAAGGGUGGAAGCAAGUUUCCCUGAGGGAAAAAAAAACAACAAAAAAAAACCUUCUGGAAUUGGGAAAAAUUUAGGUCAACAUCAUUUGAACCUUGACCUCUUGCUCUUUUGUCCCCGGGUGGACAUUUCCUUGACCUCCAGAAAUUCCUCCACCUCAAGGGAAGACUUCUUGCCCCCCUCACUUCCAGAGGCCUCCAAAGUGGGCUGGGAAGAGAUUUAAAGCAGGACCCUGGGAAGCAUGAUGAGACUCUGGAGUGUAGAGAGGCUUCCCUGCAAUGCAAAGAUCUUCAAAGGCCAAGCCCAAGGCACUGCAACCCCCAGGAGGGCCCACUCCAAAGCAGAACAGUGGAGGGAGAGCCUGCGUGUCAAGAAGCCUGGACAGCAAGACCCCCUACUGUGGCAGCCAGCCUGCUUGUAGGAGUCCUGAGAAGCCUAAUUCAAUUACCCUUAUCAGAAUGUCUCUGAACUUAACAAAGCAGAUAAUGAGUUCCAGAGACAGAUACUGCUUGGGGGGCCAAAAUUAUUUUGCUUCCCCAAAUUGGAGGCUGAAAUUGGAGAUGUUUGAAUAAUGGAAAACAUAAUCCUUCCCUAGGCCCAACCCCCUCCCAGUACCCACACCUGAGACACCCUUUCAACCAAGGAGCCUGGAUUCAACAUCCAUGCCGUCUCUCCUCCUGAAGACACCUGGUCAUGAACUCGACCUCUUUCCCCCACCAUCUUUGUGCCAUCGAUGGAAGGAAGCUGCGUACAGGAUGGAAGUGGGAGGGGAAAGGGAUUAACAUUUAUGGAGCCCUCCCCUCUAUGUGUCAGCUACAUAACACAUAGCAUUCAUUUCAACCACAGAACAUAUGUCUUUACAUUACAGAAGGCAACGGAGAACUGGAAAAGUUAACUUACUGCCUGAGGACCCAUCCCCAUCUCACCAGCAGCACAGUCAGAUUCAGACACAGGUAUUCAACUUUGCAACACACUGUGCCUCACGGCCUGUGUGCUCAACAUCAGAAAUCAAAUAGAAACUCCCUCAUUCUAAGAUUCAUAGCCAUCCUCCGAGAUAUGACAUAGCGACCUCUCCUCCGUGAACAGGGAAACAGACUGAGAGGAUAACCUAACUCUCCCAAGGCCAGAGUAUCCACUGGGAUAUGCAGCCAAGUCAGCCAGCAGUUGAAACAAGGGCUCUCUGUGCUAUCUCACAUCUGAAUUGAAUUGUUUCCUACAGACUUCUCAUAGCUCUCUAGGCAAGGAAUACAUCUUCUCACCUUCCCACACUAAGAAAGGCCUCUGUCUGAGCCUGGGUGCCGGGUGGCCAGGAUUCCUGCUGAACGUUCAGGAGCUUUCCAUCUCCAGAGGUGAGCUCCUAGUUCCUGCUUACCUUAGAACUGUAGAACAUAUAAUGUUACCACUGAAAAGAACCUCUCGUAUAGUUGGAUCACACCCUUUACCUAUUUAUUUAAAUGUACUGUUUUAAUUAUGUAACAUUUGAUAUGUGCAGGAUAAUAUGUAUGCAAAUUAUAAAGCAUAAUAAUAAAACCUGUGAACCCACCACUCAACCUUAGAACCAGACCAUUACAAUUGAUGUCCCUCCUACUUCCCCAACAGAAAUAACCACUGUCCGGGACUUUAUGUUUAUAGCCCCACCCCCCACAAUGAUUUUUAUAGUUUUGCCAAAUAUGUUAGCAUGGUAGAUUGCAUUAUUGCUCUGAGUUAAAUAUCCUUCCUUUGACAUAUAAUUUGGCAGUUCCUUCCAUUGGAAGUGAAAUACAUUUCUCUGCCCAAGAUGUUAGAUUUGCUUUGGUCAGUAGAAUGUUGCAGGCUGUGACGGUGAAAAUUCUGAGCCCAGGCCUUAAGAGGAAUCACCUGUUUCCACAUUCCCCACUUGUAUUUCUGCCUCUGCCAUGAGAAAAACAUGCUUCAGGUCACCUGCUGCUCCAAGGAGGAUGAGAGACCUAUGGGGAAGACCUGGACCCAAUCUGAAGUUAGAACUAAGUGCAACUGAGCCCAGCCUGGAUUAACCAACUCCCAGCCAAUCCACAGACACCUGGCUCUGCGAAGGCACGCGCUGAAAAUCACACAGCUGGAAAUGGUGAAUCCAAGCUGCCCAGUACCAGAGGGCGGGCACUUAACCCUCCACACACCCCAGUCUUUCCAGUAGAAACUACCUCAACAGGCUGUGGUAGGAGUUAGACGAGAUGACACAUAUGAAUCACUUGGACACCAUGUUCAGCAAGUGGGACCUCCUGACAGCAUAAGAAGUUCAGAGCUCAAAGACUUUAACCUGUCCAAACUUCAGCACUAAGGGAGACCGAUUAUGCUGUAUGACCUUGGGAAAAUCACCUCACUUCUGGGCCUCAGUUUCCACGCAUGUAAAAUGGGGAUAAAGAAACAACCCAGCUCCUGGGAUUGAUAUGAAGACUGCAUGAGAUGAUACGCAGGACACCCGUGGCACAAUGCAGGGCUUGCAGUAAGAGCUCAAUAAAUACCACCUGCUAUUUGUCUAUAAGUGUGUUUAGCAACAUCUUUGAAUGGAAUCAUAUUGUGCAUUACUUUUUGUAACUUUUUUUCACUCAUUUAGUGUGAUCAUUAAAUAUCCUUCGAG